GUUGUUUGCUGCCAGUAGCUGUGGAGAACACCAUCUGGCUGUUGCUCAAAGUACCAUCUUGGAGGAUAUAUUACUUUGUAGAUUUCCUGUCCUGAACUGUUGUGUGGUUGACUCUUCAGCGUCGAACUACAGCUGCAUUUCAUCCAACAGGCAUCUUCAGUCCAGAGAUCCCAGUUGUGGCAGGCAAGAACCAGAGGAACGGGCGGUACCCCGCUAACCCGAUAACGCUGCCUUUCAAAAAACAAGGUCUUUCUUUGGACUCUCUUCAGUUUAUGUUGUGGAGCCCCC